rnacentral:misc_RNA from 1 species
UCGAGUUCCUGAUGAGGUAAUUACUGCACACUGAGUCAUAGAGUUUUCUCCUUCCUGUUCUCCAUUUUCCCCAGGAACAUUUGAAAAUUGUACUGAGUUCAUUGUGCCUUAUGGAAAGAACUAACUCUGCUUUUAUAUUGCUGGAACAACGUUGUCUUUUGUCUGAAAUUAGUUGUUUGCUAAUUCCAAUCUCCGCUUUCUAACCCAAAAAUAAAAGAUAAAAAAAAAGGAACAUAUGAAUGUUUUCUGGUGAAGACCAUGCCUGGGAAUCAUCAGAUGUAGCCACAAAUUUGAAAAAAUAAUUGAAGUAGUAUCUCAGCAUCAAUUGUGAAGAUGCAAUAUAUCUGUGAUAUUACUUAUCUUGGGCAUCAAAGUACCCAUUGUUGAAGAUAUUCUGACAUAUUUUAUUUCAGACUUUUCUGAUUGCUAAAUGGUGAGUGUAUUUAAUGUUUAAUUUACCUGUUUUACUCAUCCAGUGCUGUAACUUUCGUUUUUCAGGUGAUUGAUAAAGUUCAG